GGGCUGUCAUUCACCUUCUCUACAAGCAGCCAGAGGCAAAUGAAGCAUGACUUACUGCCAGAAAGCAAGCAGUUUGAUCUCUGGAAUUGGGAUUCAGUUUGCUGUCUCUGUAAGCACAUUUCUGCUAUUUGAUUUUUGUCACCUUCUUCUGAAACUCCUGCUGAAAUAAUUUUUUAGUUAUGCAGACAGACAGAAUGAAAGCAUAUGAUAUACUGAAAAGCUUAUCGUCUGUAUAAAUACUUCUAUUUUAUAUAAACAUAUGUGUAAAAGAGAAAGCCUGGCAAUUCUUUCAUUAGCUCAAAUGGUGUCAUUUUUUCCUUAGGAAGUGGUUGACACCCAUUCACCCACUGAAUGUCUCAGAUCUUGGGUGCCAAAUGAGAGCUGUUCUAGUCAGUGAGUGCUUUGGAGUGAACCUGACUCAAGAAAUUCUUCUGCCAAAGGCAAGCCAGGCUGUUGGAAAUGUUUGUUAGUCCUGGAGCUGGUCCUGGAGAUGAUUUCACUGACAGCCAAGUUGAAAG